rnacentral:rRNA from 1 species
GACGAACGCUGGCGGCGUGCCUAAUACAUGCAAGUAGAACGCACAGUUUAUACCGUAGCUUGCUACACCAUAGACUGUGAGUUGCGAACGGGUGAGUAACGCGUAGGUAACCUGCCUGGUAGCGGGGGAUAACUAUUGGAAACGAUAGCUAAUACCGCAUAAUAUUAAUUAUUGCAUGAUAAUUAAUUGAAAGGUGCAAUUGCACCACUACCAGAUGGACCUGCGUUGUAUUAGCUAGUAGGGGAGGUAACGGCUCACCUAGGCGACGAUACAUAGCCGACCUGGGAGGGUGAUCGGCCACACUGGGACUGAGACACGGCCCAGACUCCUACGGGAGGCAGCAGUAGGGAAUCUUCGGCAAUGGACGAAAGUCUGACCGAGCAACGCCGCGUGAGUGAAGAAGGGUUUCGGAUCGUAAAGCUCUGUUGUAAGAGAAGAACGGGUGUGAGAGUGGAAAGUUCACACUGUGACGGUAUCUUACCAGAAAGGGACGGCUAACUACGUG